rnacentral:rRNA from 1 species
UGCGUAACAGCUCACUGGUCGAGUGGACAUGCGCCGACAAUACACGGGGCUAAGCUGGACACCGAAGCGGCGGGAUUUUAAUUCAUUAGAAUCGGUAGGGGAGCUUCCCAUGGGCGGAGAAGCCGGAGGGCGACCGACGGUGGAGCGCAUGGGAGUGAGAAUGCUGGCAUGAGUAGCGAGAGACGAGAGAGUAACUCGUCCGCCGUGAACCCGAGGUUUCCUGGGCAAGGCUAAUCCUCCCAGGGUCAGUCGGGGGCUAAGGCGAGGCCGGGAGGCGUAGCCGACGCGCAGCAGGCAGACAUUCCUGCACCGCGCACGCGGCGCUACGACCGACGGGGCGACGGAUGGGGGUGGCUCGGCGGGGUUCUGGACGUCCCCGUGAUGGAGCGCGGCCCGCGGACCAGGGAAAUCCGGUCCGCAGAAGGGCGAGGCUCCGGACGAAGCACUUAAGCGAAGCGAGUGAGCCCGAGGUCCCUAGAAAAACCCCUAGGCAGGCGCGUGCGCGCCCGUACCGCAAACCGACACAGGUGGGUGGGUAGAACAUACCGAGGCGAUCGGGUCAACCAUGGUCAAGGAACUCGGCACAAUGGCCCCGUAACUUCGGGAGAAGGGGUGCCCGCGCGUACGUGAACGGACUUGCUCCGGGAGCGGAGGCGGGCCGCAGUGGAGAGGCCCAAGCGACUGUUUACCAAAAACACAGGACUCUGCAGAAGCCGCAAGGCGACGUAUAGGGUCUGACGCCUGCCCGGUGCCGGAAGGUCACGCGGAGGAGUUAGCCGUCAAGGCGAAGCCCCGAAGCCAAGCCCCGGUAAACGGCGGCCGUAACUAUAACGGUCCUAAGGUAGCGAAAUUCCUUGUCGGGUAAGUUCCGACCUGCACGAAAGGCGCAACGACUUGGGCGCUGUCUCGACCAUGGACCCGGUGAAAUUGCACUGGUCGUGAAGAUGCGACUUACCCGCGGAAGGACGGAAAGACCCCGUGAACCUUCACUGCAGCUUGGCAUUGGCCGCUGGUCCCGCGUGUAGAGGAUAGGCAGGAGGCUAAGAUCCGGAGGCGCCAGCCCCCGGGGAGCCGCCCUUGGAAUACUGCCCUCGCGCGACCGGCGUCCUAACCCGAGGCCGUCAACCGGCUCGGGGACCGUGCCAGGCGGGCAGUUUGACUGGGGCGGUCGCCUCCUAAAGGGUAACGGAGGCGCGCGAAGGUCCGCUCGGGACGGUCGGCAACCGUCCUUUUGAAUGCAAGAGUACAAGCGGGCUUGACUGCGAGGCCCACAAGCCGAGCAGGUGCGAAAGCAGGC